rnacentral:lncRNA from 1 species
UUCUCACUCACCAAAGGAAGAAGAAGAAGAAGAAGAGGGAGAAGAUGGCCUCCUCAAUGCUCUCCUCGGCUGCUGUCGCCGCCGUCAAGAGCACCAGCCCGGUUCAGGCUGCCAUGGUGGCUCCGUUCACCGGCCUCAAGUCUGCCUCGGCCUUCCCGGUCACCCGCAAGAGCAAUGACAUCACCUCUCUCCCCAGCAACGGUGGAAGAGUGCAAUGCAUGCAGGUAUACUCGUCUAGCUUUAGCUUACAGAAUCAUUUCUCGGCACUCGAAACAAUUCAGGCUUAGAUCGAUUUCUACAACACGUGCCUUUAGAUGGAAGUUCUCAUGAGUAGCCAUAGUUCCAGCUGACAUGGAAGAACGUUCUCUGUGCUGGUGUGCAUAAAAAAGGUGGGAGUGAAUCUGGCCAGCGUCGUGAGCGCGAGUUGUCGGGCCCAUUCUUCAUUAGAAUCAACCGGAAGUUAAUUCCAUUUUCGUGCUGUUUGUAGAAAAUGAACAUCUUAGGAGAAUUUCCUAACGACGAUUCUAGUCAGUGAGGUUAUUAGCAGCAACACAUGUCCUGAAUGUCCUGAAUAAGUUGAGACUUACGUCGAUGCACAUGGGCAGGUGUGGCCACCGGUCGGGCUGAAGAAGUUCGAGACGCUGUCCUACCUUCCUCCCCUGACUCCCACACAAUUGGCGAAGGAAAUCGACUACCUGCUCCGGUCGGGCUGGGUUCCUUGCUUGGAAUUUGAGACUGAGGUCCUUGUCUUCAACACCCUUUUUCAAUUUCAAGUUCUUGACACAAGUCGCAACGCCAUUAUGCAAUUGCUUUGCCUAGGUAUAUGAUCUUUAACUCGUAGUACAUAUUGUGAUGGAAUGGUGGGAUUUCGCUUUUUUGUUUAUGCAGAAGGGCUUCGUCUACCGUGAGCACCACCACUCCCCGGGGUACUACGAUGGGAGAUACUGGACCAUGUGGAAGCUGCCCAUGUUCGGGUGCACCGACUCGGCCCAGGUGUUGAAGGAGCUUGAGGAGUGCAAGAAGGCUUACCCCACCGCUUUCGUCAGAAUCAUCGGCUUCGACAACAAGCGUCAAGUGCAGUGCAUCAGUUUCAUCGCCUUCAAGCCCCCGGGCUUCUAAGCAAGCUUAUGUCAUGGUGGAUCGUGGGGUUACCCUCGAAGCGGCAUCGUUCCAAACCUUUCAAUUGUAGCUAGAUGUCGAAUGAUCCAUUUUUCCCUUAUUACCCAAGUCCUGUGAUAUUUGUGUACUUUUGAGUUCGCAGAUGCGUUGCAUUAAGACCCGAUUUAUUCUAUGAAUGAAUUCAGCUGUUUGCUUGCUUGCUUACUUUCGUUGUUGAUGUCCUCCACUGAGUGCAAAUUGCUUGAUGAUGCCGGGUGUGUCCACGACGAGUACUGUUUCUUUUGGUUAUCGAAAGAUGACUUCGUUAAUCCUUCCAAGCUAGAUGUUGAAGGAAUUGCAAUGGAUGCUAGCCAUUCAUGAGCUUACAUAAUGAAGUGAUUGAGCCAAGCUUCAAAUGGAGGAGAAGAAGGGAAACAUCUGAGCGACGGUAGAGUACCUUGAAGAAUCUCUAGAGUUAGACGUAAGAGUAAAAGUGAUUGCUUAGUUGCGAACUAGAACUCGCCUCGAUUCCAACCGAGCAUGAGUAGGUUGAGUGUCAGAUCUCGUUGAGCUCGACAAUCGACUCGAGCAACAUCAGCUGCCUUUAAAGCCUUUUCACUUAUAAAUGAAGUAUCAAGUGGAGUUUUAAACUACCAUUUGCUUCAAGAGUUAGCAAGUAAAAGUUAACGCUUGACCUCAAGUAUAAGUCAUCUUGAACUAAAAUUGAGUAUUUAGUGCUAUUACUGCAUUCUGAGUGUCAAGCCUUGAAUAUUCUCACGUGUAGUCAAGUGCUGCGACGUCCGGACAUGAAUGGGCUACACCCUCAGUAACUCCAGAUACAAUAACACCGUUGGCACUCGAGGCAAUAAUGGAUCUACUUCACCAGAAAAAGCACACCCAUUCUAGCACCAUUGAAGCUUCUGUGGCUGAACUGGUGCCGGCUUGCAACUCGAUUCUUCUAAGCAUCAAUUUAUCUUGUAACGCAUACAUCAAAAUGAGAAAGUUUGAGGGACAAAUAGAGAGAGAGAGAGAGAGAGAGAUAGAGCCAUAAAACACUAUCUAGGAUAAACAUUUUUCAAAGAGGAAAAGUUGCCGGAGAACGUCUCCAGGACUGUCGUCAAGUAUAAAGUAAGGCAUGAGGUAGACGGAAAUUUCUUGCCUUGAUCCUAUGUAGAUUAAGGUACCCGGAAGGGGCUCUUGAUCUCUAAAAGGAUCUCCUAUAGCUACUCGAUCUCAAUCGUAGAUCUCUCUCUACUUGAGUACUCAUAACAGUAUAUAAAACUCUUAUUGUGAGUCUCCUCACAUCAUCCAACAAGUCUGCCUACACGGCAUCCAUGAUGGACCGAGGUCAACAUAAGAUUUGAUGAAAGAUCCACAUAACAGUAUAUAGAACUAGAAAACUAGUUGUGCACUAGUGAAACAACCAAAUGACAUAAAUUUUCAACAAGCUCAUUUGCUGGGAAACUGCGGACUAUGGAGAUUUCCUCCCUUUUGUUCUUUUUUAUCUUUCUGUUUUUUUCAUUGGGAUUCAAUUCUACCCUCAUAUUAGGAGUGACCUGUUUAAUGAUGGAUUGGUUCUCAACGGAGAACCUAAACCUUACCCAAUUAGAAUCGCUUACAGAUUUUUGGAAAUAGUUGGAUUUAGGGUAGAUGCCUUCAUUACUGAUCCUCGGUGAUGGCCACGAUUGGCCACAAGCAAGAGCCGACCUUCCCAGCCUCAAGCCAAACUCAAACUAGCCACAUUUGACAAUGUGGAGCCUUGCCCAAGGCUAAAGAGGGUCAACCUCACUGAGAUUUGGCGAACUUGAGCCUUGCUCAAGGCCAGCAAGGUUGGCCCUCACCAACCUUUUCCAAUGGCUAGUAAUCAUCAAGCCUAUCAUUGGUUGUUGCUAAGCCUUGGCGACCGACGAAAGAAAAAAUUAAAAAUAUAUAAAAAUAUUGGUUAUAUCACAUAGGACGUUUGGCGUUUAUGUUCGUAAUUUCCAAUCAAAUUUGAUUGGAAUGACUAAAUUAACACAUUAUUAUAAGAUUUAGAACUCGAUUAGUGUAAUUAAAAGAUUUAUAACUAAAUUAUCACAAGCGUAAUAAAUUUAUGAUUUUUUUUUUAAAAUUUAUCCAUGAACUUGCUUAGCUCGCUGAGAACAAGAUCAAUGCUCACCCUUACCUCAUGUCAU